rnacentral:lncRNA from 1 species
CUUGCCUCCCCUCUAAAAACUCAAGCAACCCCCUUUUUUCUUCCUUUCGAUCCCAGCUCCAUCUUUUUUCCAAAAUUAAAAAAACCUUGAUGCUAAAAAUUCCAAUUGCAAACCUUCUCACAAUAUCUUUCUUAAACUAUUAUAGAGCAAGAUAUUUAUCCUAAAAAAUAAUAUACUCAAGGUCAAAUAAUAUAUUCAAGAUAUUAAUUUCACAUUCUAAAUUCUAUUCAAAUUAU